UUCUUGCUUGCUAAUAAAGAUAAACAACUCAACACAUUGAAGAACGUACAUACAACUUUAAGAUGUUUGAACCAUUUUUGAGUCUUGACAUGAUUUUGCUGAUUUCAGCUCAAGCUAUAGGUACCUAAGUACAGUCAAGAGUCAAUCAAGUCUUCGUUUAAUCUAUUGCUCAUAAAGAAAUAAACUGUAAAUGUAGCUUAUUUCUUAAUAAUCUCAAAUGAAUUGAAUUUUGACACAAAAAAUGAAAUUUGUUUUAAUUUUCCACUAAAAAGCAUAUCCAAAAUGUUUGUGUUGACCCUUUUUCCCUCAAGAACUUCUAUAGUUACACUAUUGAACAUCCAACUUUAAUAAUUUUUCACCACUUUAUUACUUAAACUAUGCAAAAUAAAAGAAAUUAGCCAGAUAACAUGUUUCCAAAUGUAGGUACACCUUCAAUUGAAUAACUAGCUACAAAAAUUCCACAACAAACAAAACAAACCCACAACCUGCUUUAUUCUAAAGUAAUAAACGGCGCGGUCAAAAAAACUGAAUAAAAAGGGCGCAGGGCUGCAAAAAAAAAAUUCUUUAACAAACCUUCAUCUACAAUACAAUAACACGCAAAUAAAUAAAAAGAGUCACAACAAACUUCUACAAAAUAAUAUAUAAAAGAGAAAAAUCAUCCAACUUGGUACUCUUUAAAUAAAUAUCUACAAAAAACCUUACAAAAACAAACCCCAACAAAAUAAAAACAAAAAAUUCAUACAAAAACUAAAAUAAAACAACAACAACUACAAAAAAGAGAACUAACCAGUAUAGUGUAUCUCUGACUAAAGGAAAGACUAUAAACCUUUUUAAAUCGGAUCACCAUCACCGGAACUGUUGCUUAUGUUCCUUUUCUCAUCCUUUAUUUUUUGGCUAGCUAGCACAGAGAAAAAUAAAUAUUACUCAACCACUACCAACAUCAUCAUCGUCAUCGUUCGUAUCCGCAUACUAUAUGAUUGUUGGUAUAGAGUACCCACAAGUUGGUACUCCAAAUCUAUACACACAUAAACUCCUACCUAACCUAUACAGACUCUGCGCACCACUGCACCAGAGUUAAAAAAAAAAUGACAAAAAUAGCACAAAACUAGAAGAAGAAGGCAAGCAAAAAAAAAUAAACAAAAACAGUCCUUAGAUUAUCACCUUUAAUUGUAUAGCACAAAUACAUUCAGGUGUAAAACGUAUGUCUCCCCCAAAUCCACUUUAUUUUUUUACCUCCCCCCAAAAAAAAAAAAAACCACCCCCAGCAUGCACCGCAGCAGCAGCAACAUACCUGUCGCACAAAACUCUGUAUGGUGUUUUAGCCAGAAUGAGAACCUUUCGAAUACAAUUUCCGAUUCGACGCAAUCAAAAGGUAUACGGGUUUCCUAAAACCCCUAUAUCUCAUAAAAUAGAACAAAAAAAAAAAAAAAAAUUGAUAAAGAGAGAGGGAGGAUAUAGGGGAGAAGGGAGACUUGUAGCUUGUUGAAUUUACAUCGCCAUAGUCCCGUAACAACAACUGUUGCAGCUCGUUUUCCUUUAAUGUAUUGGUGGUAAUUUUUUUGAUUUUUUUACUCCGAAUUUUACUCCGAGAGAAUUUCUUCUCUAACUGUUAUACAGGAGACAGGACUCAUCAAGGAGAAAAGAGCACCCUUUUUUUCAUUCAGAUAUACACUUGUUUUCUAGUCGAUUUCUACCUGUAAAGAGAAUCACACUUCACCUGUAUUCCUGAGAAAGAAUUUGAGAGAGAGAGAGAGUACAGGUAACCUGUUUUCUUCAAAAGAGUACCCAAAACCGCCGCGUGUAUCUAAGAAUCCAUCAUCAUAGACUAUUGUUAUUCAACAAUGUUCUUUUUUUUUCAACAAAACACACAAAAAUAAAACAACAACAACAAAAAUAAUAGAAACAAGUGUGGUAAUCGUUUGCCUCUCUGCGCCUGUGUUUACGCCAAAGAGCAAUCAUUAUUUUAACCCUCUGCUGUGCUAUGCAUAACAAAGCCGGCACUUAUACCAAUACACUCACAUAAACCUUCGUUACAACCAAGUAAGCAUAGCAAAAGAAGUCGUGUAUCUAUGUGAAUUUAUAUUAAAAAAAAAAAAAAAAAAAAAAUGAGAAACAACAAAAAAAAAAAAACAUCAACCACCAUAGGUACUCUCGAACUCUAGCUCACCACCAAUGGUUUAACCAUUGGAACUGCCAUCGUCAUGCGACGUCAGAGAAGAGGUAAAAAAAAGGUAUGUUGUUGCUCCAAUAAGAGCCAUCAUCAUCAACUCAGCUCAGAGGCAGAGUCACACAGAACCCGAGAGAGAGCCAAAAAAAUUGAAGAAGAACUCCGAAAAAAUAGGUAUAUUACCUUAGAAUACCAGUCGUUCUUACUUCAGUCUUCGUACAGUCUUUGCUUUAACCCGUUCCAAUUCUGUCCGCCGCUCUAUUACAUAUUAUUAUAUCAAAAUACAUUCAACACAUAAAAAAGUAGAUAAAAAAAAAUCAAAGUAAAACUCUCGAGCAAAGUAAUUUAUUAAAAUACCAAAAAAAAAAAAGUGGUUUUCGAACACAAAAAAUAAUUACUCUAUAUCAAUCAUCAUCAUCAUCAUCAAAUCGACGACAAUCUCUAAAAAAAACAAAAAUAAUCUGAUAUCAACUUCAGCUGCAGUAAAUAUCUUCACAUCACACCUGACAACAACAACAACAACUGACUUUUUGGACUCAGAAUCCAAAACAAAUUGGUAAAACAAAAAAAAAAAAAAAACACAAAUUUUAUUCAAAAUUUUAUUUUAUUUUCUUAUAUUACACCAAAAUUUU